rnacentral:rRNA from 1 species
AGUCGAGGGGCAGCACAGAUAGCAAUAUUGGGUGGCGACCGGCAAACGGGUGCGGAACACGUACACAACCUUCCUUUCGGUGGGGGAUAGCCUUUGGAAACGGAGAUUAAUACCCCAUAACACAGGGACACUGCAUGGUGAUAUUGUUAAAGAUUUAUCGCCGGAAGAUGGGUGUGCGUAUGAUUAGGUAGUUGGUAGGGUAACGGCCUACCAAGCCAACGAUCAUUAACUGGUGUGAGAGCACGACCAGUCACACGGGCACUGAGACACGGGCCCGACUCCUACGGGAGGCAGCAGUAAGGAAUAUUGGUCAAUGGACGGAAGUCUGAACCAGCCAUGCCGCGUGGAGGAUGAAGGUCCUCUGGAUUGUAAACUUCUUUUAUAGGGGGCGAAAAAAGGGAAUUCUUUCUCGUCUGACGGUACCCUAUGAAUAAGCACCGGCUAACUCCGUGCCAGCAGCCGCGGUAAUACGGAGGGUGCAAGCGUUAUCCGGAUUCACUGGGUUUAAAGGGAGCGUAGGCGGGCUGUUAAGUCCGUGGUGAAAGCCCUCAGCUCAACUGAGGAACUGCCAUGGAUACUAUCAGUCUUGAAUGUCGUUG